GUCCUCAAUUUAGUAGCACAUAUACUAAAAUUGAAAUGAUACAGAGAGAAUUAGCAUGGCCCCUGCACAAGAAUGACACGCAAAACAGAUGACUGGAUAAAGAAAAU
ensembl:snRNA U6 U6 spliceosomal RNA